rnacentral:rRNA from 1 species
GACGAACGCUGGCGGCGUGCUUAACACAUGCAAGUCGAACGGAAAGGCCUGCUUUCCCUUGUGGAUUGCGGGUACUCGAGUGGCGAACGGGUGAGUAACACGUGAGUGAUCUGCCCCCAACUUGGGUAUAAGCCUGGGAAACUGGGUCUAAUUCCCGAUAGGACUGCAGGGUGGUGCCUGUGGUGGAAAACGAUUUUCUAGUGGUUGGGGAUGAGCUCGCGGCCUAUCAGCUUGUUGGUGGGGUAAUGGCCUACCAAGGCGGCGACGGGUAGCCGGCCUGGGAGGGGGGACGGACACAUUGGGACUGAGAUACGGCCCAGACUCCUACGGGAGGCAGCAGUGGGGGAUAAUGCACAAUGGGCGGAAGCCUGAUGCAGCGACGCCGCGUGGGGGAUGACGGCCUUCGGGUUGUAAACUCCUUUCGACCGCGAGGAAGCCACCUGGUUGGAAGGGUGGUGACGGUAGUGGUAGAAGAAGCACCGGCUAACUACGUG